rnacentral:rRNA from 1 species
GCCAAAUGCCUCGUCAUCUUUAGUGACGCGCAUGAAUGGAUUAACGAGAUUCCUACUGUCCCUAUUUACUAUCUAGCGAAACCACAGCCAAGGGAACGGGCUUGGCAAAAUAAGCGGGGAAAGAAGACCCUGUUGAGCUUGACUCUAGUUUGACAUUGUGAAAAGACAUAGAGGGUGUAGAAUAAGUGGGAGCUUCGGCGCCGGUGAAAUACCACUACCUUUAUCGUUUUUUUACUUAUUCAAUGAAGCGGAGCUGGGAUUAACGUCCCACGUUUUAGCAUUAAGGUCCUUCGCGGGCUGAUCCGGGUUGAUGACAUUGUCAGGUGGGGAGUUUGGCU